GGGUGGGGCAGCCUCACACCCAAGCCCAGGAGAAAGGUGACUUCCAGGGCGCACUGAGCUCCUGGCGGCUGCAGCAGAGCAGCGCAGCUCGGAAGCUCUGAGCCCGGACCGAAGCCAAGGAGCAUCAGAGACCCCCAAGCACAAGGCAGAAGCAUCAGCAGCCCCAUCGGCACAGACCCGGCCUCCUCUCCCUAGCUGUGGGUCCCUGCCCAGCAGCAGACACCGGGCCAGGAAGGCAGGCAGAAGGAUGCCCCUCUGAACACCCCACCGCAGCAAAAUCCCCUGCAAAGUCCCCGAAGAGGUCCUGUGAAGGGCACGUCACACCUACCGUGGCGAGGUGCCGUGCGGGGUCACCGACGUACAGCAUGUUCUGUCAACUGGCUGAAUCCAACAACAAAACCCGCGGCCCACCCCUUUAUUCCUCCUUCCUUCCUCCCUGUCGUCCCCAGCGAUAGCCGCAGGGGCCUCCAUCGCUCCCCACCCCCACCUCUAGGAGACCGGAGAGAGCUGGAGGAGGGCAGGGGAG